AAGUCAUGGAAUUUGCUUGGUCAUUAAAAGUUCAAAUUGGUGAUAGUCUCUGCGAUCCUAUAGCUAUCAGAGAUGAUCCCUAAUUUUAGAGAAUAUCCGAUGCUAUAAAUGCUUUUGGUUUUAAUACAGGCUAUGGCAGUGUUUUUCGUAGUUACAGUCCACCAAAUUGAAAAGUAUAUUAACUUCCAUAAUAUUUGUUCUAGGCAAUAAACAUACAGGAUACCCAUACAAAAAUGCAGUAAAAUGGCAGUACCAUGAAAUAAUGGUUGUUUAAUUAAUUAUAUCUGGUAGCUUGCUGUAUGUGUUGGCUUCUAAUGGUCAUUUUUCAUUUGUGUUUGCUAAUUGCACUGUUUAUUGUGCUGCACAUUUUCUUCUGUUCCACUGAAUUCUGUUUUGGAAGUUUUAUGACUAUUUAUUUAAGAAAUAACACAAGCAUGUCUUUUAUUUCAAUAUUUCAUUUAUUUCAUGCUUCAAUCCACUAGGGUUUUCAAAACCCUAUUUUUAUCGCAUUUAUUUCCAUACAUAAUUUGUCAAUGUAUUGCACCUGAAUUUGACCCUGAAAAUAUUACUAUUAUAUUUUCCCUUAGCUUUUAAGCAAUUAACAGAAUCCGUGCAGUCAUUUAAUUUUCAUUUCUGUAGCUAAAUAUGGAGGUAACCAUACUAGUUCUAGCUAAAAAAAAAAGAUCUCUGCAUGCAGCCUGCUUGCUCGAGCACAUUGGUCAACAGCAACAGUUUUUCCAAAUGUACACAACUUCUAAAAGUGGUAGUCCCUGUUCUCCUGAAUUCUUGUUUUACUUUAGUAAGUAAAGCGGCAGUUUGUUGGGGAGACGAAAGUCAAGGUAAGAUUAGCUAGCUAACUAACUAAUUCAGCUGGCUAAUGCUAGCUCUCUGGCUAAUCCACUAUGGACAUGGUACAUUUGAAGUUCUACCUGUUGAAGCUAGCUAGAUAUUCAAAUAAUAUCUGUUGAGUUAAUGAUUGUAAAGGGGUGUGUGUAUAUUCUCUGCAGGUGUGUGAGAGAGGAGAUGAUCACAACUUUAGAAAACAUUCAUGUCAACGUAGUCAUGCUAGCUAUGUGUGUGUGUGUUCAGUGUGAGAGAGAUGAUUGUGAUCAUAAUCUAUAGAAAAUAUCAUGUCAACAUUGUGUCAUGCUAGCUGUGAGUGUGUGUGUGUGUGUGUGUGUGUGUGUGUGUGUGUGUGUGUGAGAGAGAGUGUACAUGAAUACACAUAGGAAACAUUGUGUGUGAGACAGUAAGGUAGCCUACUGUAAAAUUCUUGAAAUGUGUACCUCCCCACACUGGAUGUAAAGAUUUUUCUUGAUUAAUCAGAGAUCUUUUGUAUUUGACAAUAGGAUACAUUUAGCCUAUCCCUGCUCCCCCUCAACACUCAUUCUAACGUUACACCUCUCAACUGCCCUUUUCAAUUCUUUCUCUUUUUUUUUUGCAGGAAUCUUCUAGCUUGGAUGGAGGAAACAAAGGGAGGAGUACAGAAUGUAUCUAGCCUGCUGACUAAGAAAUUUCCUGAAACAUGUCAAUGACCUGAUGCAUGGCCUCUACAGCAGUGCUUCGGCACCCACUCAGUUACCAGUGACCUAUUUUGGCACAUCCCAGUGAAAGGAGAGAGCAGAAGCACCCUUCCUUAAAUCUAUAGUCAUUGACAAUCUGACCCAUCGCAUGACUCUUGAAGAGGGCCAUGAGAAUCUCCAGUACCCCAUAACAACACUCUUAUUAAUCAUUCAUUGCCUUUAUAUAUUCUGUGUCCCU